GAUGAACGCUGGCGGCGUGCCUAAUACAUGCAAGUCGAGCGAACGGACGAGAAGCUUGCUUCUCUGAUGUUAGCGGCGGACGGGUGAGUAACACGUGGAUAACCUACCUAUAAGACUGGGAUAACUUCGGGAAACCGGAGCUAAUACCGGAUAAUAUCUUGAACCGCAUGGUUCAAAAGUGAAAGACGGUCUUGCUGUCACUUAUAGAUGGAUCCGCGCUGCAUUAGCUAGUUGGUAAGGUAACGGCUUACCAAGGCAACGAUGCAUAGCCGACCUGAGAGGGGGAUCGGCAACACUGGAACUGAGAAACGGUCAAGACUCCUACGGGAGGAAGAAGUAGGGAAUCUUCCGAAAAGGGCGAAAGCCUGACGGAGAAAGGCCGCGUGAGUGAUGAAGGUCUUCGGAUCGUAAAACUCUGUUAUUAGGGAAGAACAUAUGUGUAAGUAACAGUGCACAUCUUGACGGUACCUAAUCAGAAAGCCACGGCUAACUACGUG
rnacentral:rRNA from 1 species